GGCUCGGUAGCUUAGUUGGUAAAGCGCUCGUCUAGCAUACAAGAGUUCUGAGUUCAAAUCCCAGCCGAGCAC
rfam:Aedes aegypti strain Liverpool supercont1.85 genomic scaffold, whole genome shotgun sequence.